GAUGAAGAACGUAGCGAAAUGCGAUAAGUAAUGUGAAUUGCAGAAUUCAGUGAAUCAUCGAAUCUUUGAACGCACCUUGCGCCCUUUGGCUAUUCCGAAGGGCAUGCCUGUUUGAGUAUCAUGAACACCUCAACUCUCAUGGUUUGCCAUGAUGAGCUUGGACUCUGGGGGUCUUGCUGGCCUAUGGUCAGCUCCUCUCAAAUAAAUCAGCUUGCCAGUGUUUGGUGGCAUCACAGGUGUGAUAACUAUCUACGCUUGUGGUUUUCCAUCAGGUAACCUUCAGUGAUGGAGGUUCGCUGGAGCUCAUAAAUGUCCCUCCUCAGCGAGGACAGCUUUUUGAACGUUUGAUCUCAAAUCAGGUAGGACUACCCGCUGAACUUAAGCAUAUCAAUAAGCGGAGGA
rnacentral:misc_RNA from 1 species